GCCAGUGUGGUGCAGUGGUUUGAGUGUUGGACUAGGACUCCAGAGAUCAGAGUUAGAUUCCUCACUCAAGCA